CAAGUCGAACGAAGUAGCAAUACUUAGUGGCGAACGGGUGAGUAUAAUGUGGGUAUCUGCCCUUUGGUUUGGAAUAACACGAGGAAACUUGUGCUAAUACCGAAUAAGCCUUCACAGGGAAAGCUUUAGCGCCAAAGGAUGAGUCCGCACUUGAUUAGCUAGUUGGUAAGGUAAUGGCUUACCAAGGCUACGAUCAAUAGCUGUUCUUAGAGGAAGAUCAGCCACAUUGGGACUGAGACACGGCCCAAACUCCUACGGGAGGCAGCAGUGGGGAGUCUUGCACAAUGGGGGAAACCCUGAUGCAGCGAUGCCGCGUGAGUGAAGAAGGCCUUUGGGUUGUAAAGCUCUUUCGUCGGGGAAGAAAAUGACUGUACCCGAAUAAGAAGGUCCGGCUAACUUCGUGCCAGCAGCCGCGGUAAUACGAAGGGACCUAGCGUAGUUCGGAAUUACUGGGCUUAAAGAGCACGUAGGUGGUUGGAAAAGUUGGUGGUGAAAUCCCAAGGCUUAACCUUGGAACUGCCAUCAAAACUUUUUAACUAGAGUAUGAUUGAGGUAAGCGGAAUUUCUAGUGUAGAGGUGAAAUUCGUAGAUAUUAGAAAGAACACCAAUUGCGAAGGCAGCUUUCUGGAUCAUUACUGACACUGAGGUGCGAAAGCAUGGGUAGCGAAGAGGAUUAGAUACCCUCGUAGUCCAUGCCGUAAACGAUGUGUGCUAGACGUUGGAAAUUUAUUUUUCAGUGUCGCAGCAAAAGCGUUAAGCACACCGCCUGGGGAGUACGACCGCAAGGUUAAAACUCAAAUGAAUUGA
rnacentral:rRNA from 1 species